AAAAGAACUUUGAAGAGAGAGUUCAAGAGUACGUGAGACUGUGUAGUGGUAAACGGAGGGGUUCUCGAAGUCGGAACCGGAGGUUCAGGCUGUCUUCUCCGGUCGACGGGGCGUUCUUGAUCCGCGAGGACUCGGCGUUUCGUUGUUCCGGGAAGCCGGCUGCAUUUCUCCGGUUCUUCACGCCACGAACCGUUGCUGAUGGACUGUGGACGGGAGKGAAGUUCACGCCUUGGAUUCGUCCUUUUUGUGAGCCUCCCGCUCUUAGCUUUGUCGGCGACGGGUAGUUAAGCGGGCUCGUAUAGCGAGUGUCUUUGCUGGCACGGCUCGCAUUUCUGUGGCGAGUAGGUCGGUGGCCCCUCCGACCCGUCUUGAAACACGGACCAAGGAGUCUAACACGUGCGCGAGUCAUUGGGUGUACUAAACCUAAAGGCGAAGUGAAAGCGAAGGGCGCUUUAUGCGUCUAAGGGGUGAUCCCCCUUUAAAAAAGGGGCGCAACCCUGACGCUUCGCGUCGACCUCGUUUCGUGCGGAGCAGUAAGAGCGUACGCGUUGGGACCCGAAAGAUGGUGAACUAUGCCUGGCCAGGUCGAAGUCAGGGGAAACCCUGAUGGAGGACCGUAGCGAUUCUGACGUGCAAAUCGAUCGUC
rnacentral:rRNA from 1 species